rnacentral:lncRNA from 1 species
CUUAUUCCUGCCCAUGUCAGUCCUGCGCCAACGAGAGUACCGCCAUCUAUUGGUGAGUCCCUUGAACUUCACUUGAAAGCCCUUGGGAGGGUGUGGCUAGGGCUUCAGGGAGACAGCGGGUCACCUGGUCGGUCACUGCUGCACCACAGGAUUUGAUAGGGCAGGAGAGGAAAGGCCACAAGGCCUUGGGGCACAGGAAAGGAGAGCCUCAGCUUUGACCAUUUUGCUGCAAUUCCCAGGGUGGUCUGCAAGUUUAUUAAAUUGGACAUCAGGGAAAAUCGAACCCAGGGAGAAACUGCGAUCUGCUGUCACUUUGAACCGCCACAGAAAGGGAGGACGCAGGAAAGGGAAGAGGGAUGAGUCUGAGGCUUGAAGCAUGGUCAGGAGCUGUGCUCGGGGCUCCCGCCGCUGCACCGCUGCACCGCUGCACCCGGAUGCCACACAGGGAGCCAGGCACAGAAGGAGCAGAGACAAACCCGGUCCUGCGGAGCAGGAGCUGCACCCCCAGCCAGCCUUUGAGCUCCUGGGCCGCUCUCUGCCCUUUGCUCUCGCAAGAGCAAAAGCCUGGCGUGGAGGGAAGUAGGAAAAGUAGCGCGGGAGUCGCCACACAGCGCUGGGGUCACAUCUGCAGAGAGAUUGGUUUCACAAGUGCUCAGAUCUGCUGGGGUCACCUGGAAAGGCCUUUGGGAAAUCCCCUGGGCACACUUUUGGAAUCCCAAAGGAAUGACCUUCCAGAGUGCCGGUGAACCCACUGGGGUCCUUAUUGCAUGCACCCUGAUGUUUCUUUUUGAUACCAUGAUUUGGAAAAAAAAAAAGAAAAGAAAAGAAACCUUUGGGCACUGGUCUCUGGAACUGGGAGGCCAUGUUGCAGCUCCCCUGGUCUGGCGGUAAGGUCCUUCUGAUUCACCUUGCCCCCGUAAUAGCCACACAACCCUUACCACAGACUACUGUUACUGCCGUUUACCGGUAAUGCGUCCUUGCUUCCCCGAAUGCUGAAGUAUAACACAAGAGAAGCAAGCGGAGGCAAGUGUAGAGUGGAAAGUGGAAGGCUUUAUUAAAGGACAGCAGAAAAGGCUUCUCCCAGGACGAAGAAGGGGACCCGAAAGGGAGAAUUCGUGGAAGGGGGAAGUCUUCCCUUUUGUAUAGCUAAGGUCUUCUUUUAGUCCUCCCACAUUCCUAUCCUUUGUUUCCCUCUGUCCUGCAGCUAUAGAAUGCAGGUGGGAAGGACAAAAGGUGGGAGAUGAUGGACUGGAGGAGUAAUCUGGACAGGAAAAGCCUGGGGUGGUUUGAUUAACAUUUCCCUGUUUGCUAGGAGCUGAUUCAUUAACAUUUCCUUAGGAUGGGUUCCGAGUUUUGGGGUCAUUAACAUUUCAAUUUCCCCAAGUGCUGCUCUGCUUUCCUGGUCUCCAUUUUCUUUAUCUUUUUCUAUAUUAGACCCGAUUUACCUAACUACACUAACUACCUAUCUGUAAAUCUGGCUUCACUACUUCCUUGGGGGCAUCCAAGGCAUUCCUGCUCCCUGAACCCUCUCAAACCCCUGGCACCUGCUCCACACAAACACCCCCCCCCCCGUGUGCCCAGUGAUCUCCUCUUCUAAGUGGCUCACUGGGCAAUCUGUGCUCAAGGCCUACCAUAGGGUCACUUGUGGAAAGGGACCAGGAGGUAGGUCAUGAACCCACUUUCAGAGUGUACUGAGGCAGUCCUGGGUCACGAAGCCCUCCUGGUUUUUAGGAACACUGGGUGCUUGUGACAUGAAUUGAAGCAUGUGUGUUUGUGUGUAUCCCACUAAUGGAGGAGAGGACUCCUGGUUUCUCUGGAAAACGAUGUCCCACUAAUGGGAGGGGGGAAGUCCCUGAUUCCUCUGGUUGUUAUAGAUAGACUUUGGUGCCAGGGAGAGGAGUAUUGUAAUAGUAGCCACAGAGGGAACCUUCUGAAAAAGGGUUGGUGGCAGGGCAUGGGUCAAUCUGGUCUAGGGUCCUUGGAGACAGUUCUGUAGAAAUGAGACAGUGCUUGAAGUCCGGCCUGGUUCCAGGUGGCUGAGUGGGAACCAAAGGCAACUGAUAGUGUCAGGGUGAGGGCAAGGCUCAGGCCUGGGAACUAAGUUUCGAAGAUCCAGCAAUUGAAAGAAGAUGCAAGGCACAGUGGGAAUAUUGGUCAUCCUUUACUCAGAGAUGGCCAUAGCCAUUAGCCAGCCCCCUGAGUCAUUUGUACAGGCCCUUUUUCUGUACAGUUCAAACAAAGAAGGCACACUGCCAACAGGUUACAUCAGUGGGUGCAUGAUCACAAGCAAAUGUUUAUGACCUCGAGUAUGUGCAGUAAAUCAAAGUGUUUCUGACCUUGACUACACACUGACCAUAAUAUAGCAGAUUCAUGGCCUUGGCUACAUACUAAAAACAUAACAUAAAAUAUAACAUAACGCUCUGCCCUCUUCCUCUUCUUUCUCUCCUCUCUCUGUUCUCUUCCUCUCUUCUCUCUCCUCUCUCUCUCCUCUCUUUCUCUCCUCUCUCUGCUCUCUGCCUCUCCUUUUCUUCCCCUUUGGCAGCCCCCAAUAAAAUCUCUUUGAUUGAAAAAAAAAAUAACAGCUAUCUGGAAGUCUUGGUGAGGGAGCCAUUUUGGGCCUGCUCCAAUAGUUAGCAUGCCACAGUCAGUGUGGCAGUAGGAGAGCUGGUCUGGUGCAGGUUAUAGCAAGACUGUUCCCAGGACAGCCUGCAGUGUGACUGUUGCCAGUCUCAGGCUCCAUGAGCAAGUUGUAGCCCUGGUUGAUCCUAUGGAGUCUCUGAGGGUGUGGUCACUCACUUGAGGGACUCAGUGUCUGCUCUCCAUCAGAGUGGUAUUUGGAGCACUGCUGCGAGUGACCCUGCUUUCCUUGGAUGCUUUCCACUGCUUGGUGUCAUGCUUGCCCCUCUGUUCCUCUGUUUAAUUGGCAUGAGGUGGGACCUUGGCACUGGUGUGUUUUAAAAGCACCCCUGGCAUUGCCAGUGUGCCAGGCAGGUUGGGAAAUCAGUGCCAGGGUUGGAGUUGACCCACAGGUUAGAGGCAGAGUGAGGAGGUGCAGAGCUGGUGAGGAUGGACUGUGCUUUUACACAACCAUUCCCAUCAUUUCUCAUCACAGGUCUGCAUUAGCAGUGUACAUGGGCGACAUGGUGUGGUGGACGACACCAUCUUUUUCACUUUGGAUUCUCUGAAGCUUCCUGCCGGUUACGUACCUCAACCAAAUGACAUCGUUGACGUGGUCAUAGUAGAGAGCGUUCAGUCCUGCUAUAUUUGGAGAGCAGUUUCUAUGACCCCAGUGCACAUAUUGUAAAAGCAAAACCCUUUGUUUCCUGUUGGUCUUCAUUUCUAUGGGCAGUAAAGGGCCUGGUUUAAUGGAAAAGCUGAGCUUAGUAAGCCCAAACAAAAUAUUAAUGCUUUAAUUAAUCAUUUAAGACAGUGGGUAGUUCAUUUGGGACCAGGAACCUACUUUAGGGAACUGCCUUAUCCAUUCUGAAACAUGCUAAAGCUGGAUGUUUAUUGUAGGAAAGAAAUAGCACUGCAGUCAGGCACAGUAGCCCAUGCCUUUAAUUCCAGAGACUCAGAGACUGAGGCAGGAGGAUCACAGGUUUGAGGAGAGCUUGACAACUUAGUGAAUCCAGUUUCAAAAUACAAAAAAUAAAAAUGGGGGUGUAACUCAGUGGUAAAGUACCCCGGGCUCAAUCCCCUGGCAACAAGUGUUAGAGUCUGUAAACAAGUCAGGAUGGCGCCUGCUAUUUUGCCAGGGGGAGUGGUUUGUGAGGUGGCACCAGCGAGCCAUUAAGUGUGGAGAUUCCUUAUUGGUUGACUGCUGUAUCUAGUUUAUGUUAAUUAAGAUAAGCUGUGUGUAAUGUAUAUAUACCCCUCCUGUCCUACAAUAAAUGGCUCCCACUCCUACUGUAUCAAUCUACACAAGUUCUUCGUCACCCCCCGGUUAUUUUGCUGCAGCCGGACUGCGGCAGAUGGUGGCCUUUUACGGGGAGCCCCGGGACACUCAGGGGUAAGUGACGAAAAAAAAAAAAAAGCUGCCCGUCCAUAGACAGAACAGGAGCAAAUCUGUUCGUCCCUAGGCAGAUAGGGCGAGAGGAAAAAUGGCCAUUUUGAGAAAAUGGAGAAGAUUGAUGCAGUAUGUUUGUGUCUUGUUUUGUCUCAGUGUAUUGUAUUGUCUUUGUGAUGAAAAUAUGGAAGGGGUGAGAAGUAAAUUACUAAGGUGCCGCAGUCUGGCUGGGCACACAAUCACGAGCCACCACACAGCUUGUAGAUUCAAACAGCAACUCUUUAUUCCCGAACUCACACCAGCCGUCUACAAUCACGUUCUGGGGAAAUCCACGUUCUCUGCCCAAAUCCCCUCCCACUGGGCUUCUGUCUCCCAAAACAUACUGUCUGAAUCCCGUGAGAACUCAAGGGGAACUCAGGCAGCAGGAUACGCCCUAUUCCCAGCAGGAAUAAUCUUAAACCUUAAACCUGGAACCUAAACCGGGAACGCCCUAAUCCGCCUUGGUCCUUGAACAAGGUCACCUACAUUCAAUGUCACUGCAACAUGGGGUACGCUGGCAAGGAAAUUGUCAUACCUACUUGGCUAAUGGCUCCCAGCACUAAGGGAAGAAGGCACCCCAGUGGAACCAAGAAUAGUUAGGGCAUGUGUUGAUGGAAGCCCAGGAACUCUAGUCAGAAAGAAAAAGAAAGUUCAGAGGAGGAAGGAUUAUCAGGAAAAAAGUUGCAGCAAAAGGCUAUUACUGAAUACUUUUCGUUACCGGAGGGUGCGUGAAUCGGCGCUGUGGUUGCCACGUGUGCGAGCCGGUCAUGGUGCAGCAAGGACUUUCCAAGCGGCGGCAGCCGGCUCUUCCACUGCCAGGAGCCCAAAUCUAGACCUGACCUGGAGGCACAGUCUCGCAGGCUCUUGCUCCCUGUGCCCGGAAGCAGUUUGUGUCCAGGACUCUCCCCAGGGCCAUCUGGGGCUGCCCGGAUGCUAUAGCCGAUGCUACCGGAUGCUACCGGUGUCCCUGAUGUUUGGUUAUUUUCAAUGCCAAUAACUAAGCUACAAUGGUUCUCCCACACCUGGAGGCUGAUGAAUAAUGAGCACCAUUAAGGCUUAUUUCAAAUGUAAGAAACCUUGAGAUAAUGUACUAAAUUGUUCAGAAGGUUGUUUUCUUAGCGCCUGCUGGAAUACUACAGGAUUUUCUUUACCACCCGGAGUUCCUGCCUUCAUCCCAGUGCCAGUGAAGAUGAAGGUGGAAGAAUUUCCAGUGUUGCUGAAAACCGGACGAAACUUCGUCUGAGAACCGGACGAGACUUUGGAUCAAGCUAGCUGCCUGCAGAACUUACCUGGACUGUGAUUUAAGCUAGCUGCCUGCAGAAUUUACCUGGACUGUGAUUUACCUGGACUGUGAGGACACUGCUUUAACUGGACUGAGACAACAAACUGUAAUCUACAACAAAUUGUAACUCGGUAUCUUUGCAAAUGGUGUCAUUGCUGGUAUAAUUUUUCUAAGGGCUUCUUGCAUGGAGCCAUCAAUUGGCUUGGUAUUGUGGCAUUUUGUAUCCUCCCCUUCUGCUUGUAGCAGAUUAUUUAUGGUGUUUAUGUAAAAACCACUAUGGUCAUUAUUUAAAUUAAACAAAAGGGGGAAAUGUUAGAGUCUGUAAACAAGUCAGGAUGGUGCCUGGUAUUUUGCCAGGGGGAGUGGUUUGUGAGGUUGCUCCAGCGAGCGCCAGUGUGGAGAUUCCUUAUUGGUUGACUGCUGUAUCUAGUUUAUGUUAAUUAAGAUAAGCUGUGUGUAAUGUAUAUAUACCCCUCCUGUCCUACAAUGAACGGCUCCCACUCCUGCUGUAUCAAUCUACACAAGUUCUUCGUCACCCCUCGGUUAUUUUGCUGCAGCCGGACUGCGGCAAGCAAGCUUCUUGAUUUCCUAGCACCCUGACUGGGGACUGGUAUUUUUGUCCUUGGGGGACCAGUUCUGUUGUGGUGUCCAGGACUGUUUUGGACUCUUUCAGCCCUUGAAAUAAGUUUGCAAGCACCUGGUCCCUGGUUGAAUUGAAGUUUGGUUUAGGAUGGCUACUGACUCCGGCUUCUGUGUUGCUUCUGACUCCUCACUGAUACAUUGUCUUCUGGCACUGGGGGUUGGGGAUGAUAUUUGGUGUCAAUAUGGAUGUUAUGCUUUUUUUUUUGGUUUAUAAUAAUAAUAAUAAUAAUAAUAAUAAUAAUAAU